rnacentral:rRNA from 1 species
UCGAGAAUUUUUCACAAUGGGGGCAACCCUGAUGGAGCGACGCCGCGUGGGGGAUGAAUGGCUUCGGCCCGUAAACCCCUGUCAUUUGUGAUCAAUGCAACCGGCUGAACAGGUCGGUUGCUGAUAGUAGCAAAAGAGGAAGGGACGGCUAACUCUGUGCCAGCAGCCGCGGUAAUACAGAGGUCCCGAGCGUUGUUCGGAAUUACUGGGCGUAAAGGGCGCGUAGGCGGCCCGGCAAGUUGAAAGUCAAAUAUUGCGGCUCAACCGCGCUUCGCUUUCAAAACUGCCGGGCUAGAGGUUUGCAGAAGAAACUGGAAUUUUCGGUGUAGCAGUGAAAUGCGUAGAUAUCGAAAGGAACAUCAGUGGCGAAAGCGAGUUUCUAGGCAACACCAGACGCUGA